AAACAAACUAAUCAAUAAAUCAAUAAACAAAAGGUGGAGGGGGUUCCCCCGUCAGUAGGUAAACAAAUAAACUAAUCAAUAAACAAAGGUGGAGGGGGUUCCCCCGUCAGUAGGUAAACAAAUAAACUAAUCAAUAAACAAAGGUGGAGGGGGUUCCCCCGCUUGCAGGUAAACAAACAAACUAAUCAAUAAAUCAAUAAACAAAAGGUGGAGGGGGUUCCCCCGUCAGUAGGUAAACAAAUAAACUAAUCAAUAAAUAAAUAAACAAAGGGAGGGGGUUCCUCUGCCUGCAGGUAAACAAACAAACUAAUCAAUAAAUCAAUAAACAAAGGUGGAGGGGGUUCCCCCGCCACCAGGUAAACAAAUAAACUAAUCAAUAAAUAAAUAAACAAAGGGAGGGGGUCCCCCCGCCUGCAGGUAAACAAACUAAUCAAUAAAUAAAUAAACAAAGGGAGGGGGUUCCCCGCCUGCAGGUAAACAAACCGAUCACUAUAGGAAAGCACCUACUUGAGGCCCUGGUCCGUCUCCCCGUAGUCGUCCAGGUACGGAGGAGGAUAGAAGCAGCCCUUUGUUUUACCUGCUACAAACAGCACCUGACUUUCUCUUACCCUGCACGCAACACACACAGACACACACACAGACACACAGUCAGAGUGUGUACAGUGUACAGUGUGUAGUGUGUGCAUCUGCAGUAGAGCACAGGGCCCCGUUCCUCGUACGUGGCUAGCUGCGUUAGCCGGAUAAGAUGACAAGGAUCAGGCUUUUCGGUUCAAAUCACCACAGCAACACAUCCACAAACUUGAACCUGCUCCGGCGCAGCUUCAUUUGAGCGGCUGGAUUAAUUCGCCACUCCCCCGGAAAACAAGGCAGCUCUCUUCCUCACUGAUAAAGGGAAGCCGCUGCAUGUUGUGUUCUUCAUAAAGUUCAGUUGGUUUAUUUGACACUUUUCAUGUUCCACGUUUCACUGCUUCAAUUGAUCAAAUGUCUGAUGACACACUGAUUCGCCCACACACACACACACACACACACACACACACACACACACACACACACACACACACACACACACACACACACACACACACACACACACACAAUAAAACUCCUAGUUCUAUUUGGUCAUCUACAUACAUAUGAUACAUAAUACAUGUAUUUAUCUACUUAUUCUGAAAUUGGAUGGUGAUGAAUUCCCUUUAAAGAACUAUAAUCUGAUUGAUUAGAGUGAUGAGGCACUUAAAAUGAGCGUGAAUCAGCCUUGGAGGAACCGAGACAGGCUGACAUUAAUCAUCUCGUUAAAUUGAUCUGGAUAAUGUGACAUUUGAUCGACUUUGUUGAACCACGGUAGGAAAAAUAGGGCCCUGGUGUGUUACCUGAGGAAGAGACCAAGGCCGGCUCCACAGGUGAAGGUGUGGGCGGUGCAGGCACCUACGUCCUCUCCGUCCACCUCCGUCUGACAGCAGUAACUCUGAGAACACAACAUGGAGCCGCACACCAGACACAGAGUGGGAGCUCGGGACUUAUCUCCUCCGGACCGGGGACACCUGCACAGGUGAAGGUGGGACGGAGGAAAUUGAUGAGUAGAUGAAGAACAGUCAGAGGAGCUGGUCAGUGCACAUAAGGUAUAUACAUGUACAUAUAAACAUAUAUGUACAUGUAUAUGUAUAUUAGGGCUGUCGAUGGAUUAAAAAUGUAACUAAUUAAUCGCACAUUUUGGAAUUCGUUCAUCUUAUAUAUAUUAUAUAUAUAUAUACUAUUUAGACACUGUUGUCUAUUGUUAAUGUUAUUUUAAACACAAAACUACACACAUCUGAUCACCUUGGAGGCAGAAUUACACCGAGUGGAAUAUGUUGAACUAGCAACUCUUCCAGCUAGCUUAGCUUAGCAUAGCGGUGCUUUAAGGGGUCCGUUUGCCACUCACCCCCCUUCACUUUGUUCUCUGCUGUAUGUGGUGCCUCUGUUGGUUUUACUUCCAAUGCAAAAAGCUGUCUCAUCUUGAGCUACCGUCCUGCUUUCUCCGAUGUAACCGACUGCAGCUAGCGGCCGUUUCGUUUCCGCCGUCUACUUCUGAUAAACAAAGGUACCUUAACUACGUUAGAGUAUUUUGUCGCAUUAAUCUUGGCCACAUUAAUCGCAUAGAUUAAUGCGUUUAUGUUCACAGCCCGUAUACAGUGAUCCCUCGCCACUUCGCGGUUCACUUAUCGCGGAUUCGCUAUUUCGCGGAUUUUCAUAUUGCAUUUUUUUUUUUUUGGUGCAUUGUGCUCUGCAUUCUGAUUCGCUAAAAACUCACUCCCGAGCCGUUCAUUACAGUUCUCCAACGUCAUCGAUGGUGGCAUGUCGGUGUACAAGGAUCUUUUUGCAAAGAAGAAAAAAGAGCGACAACAGCUGCCUAUCACUAUGUUCUUCUCCCGAACAAACACACCUGCACCGCGGGCUUCAGAAGAAGAGAACACUGCAGAGCGCAGUCAGGAUGCAGCGGCCCAGUCUGAAGAGCAGUGAAACGGCCUACACGCGAGCCACUGUAUUUGUAUACAUGUAAUAGUUGCUAAUUGUAAAAAAAAAAAAAAGUUUUCUAUUUCGCGGAUUUCACUUAUCGCGGGUCAUUUUCGGAACGUAACCCCCGCGAUAAACGAGGGAUUACUGUAUACAUAUAUAUAUAUAUAUAUAUAGACAAAGGGUGUAUAUACAAUGUGUACUAAAAGUGUGUACUGUGAAUACAUACAGUGUGUAUUUGCAGUGUGUACUGUGAGUAUAUUCAGCGUAUACUAGCAAUGUGUAUAUGCAAUGUGUACUAAAAGUGUGUACUGUGAGUAUAUACAGUGUGUAUUUGCAGUGUGUAUAUACAGUGUGUAUUUGCAGUGUGUAUAUACAGUGUGUAUUUACAGUGCGUACUGAGAGUAUAUACAGUGUGUAUUUGCAGUGUGUACUGUGUGCAUAUACAGUGUGUAUUUGCAGUGUGUACUGUGAGUAUAUACAGUGUGUAUUUGCAGUGUGUAUUUGCAGUGUGUACUGUGAGUAUAUACAGUGUGUAUUUACAGUGUGUACUGUGUGUACAUACAGU
ensembl:lncRNA